CUGGCAGUAAACGAUGUAUGCUGGGUGUGGGCGUAGCGAUACGUCCGUGCCGAAGUUAACGCGAUAAGCAUACCGCCUGGGGAGUACGGUCGCAAGAUUGAAACUCAAAGGAAUUGACGGGGGCCCGCACAAGCGGUGGAGCACGUGGUUUAAUUCGAUGCAAACCGAAGAACCUUACCUGGGCUUGACAUACACGUGGUAGAGAAUUGAAAGAGGAUCGACUUUGCCUUCGGGCAAAGAGCGUGAACAGGUGC
rnacentral:rRNA from 1 species